AGUGAACGCUGGCGGUAGGCCUAACACAUGCAAGUCGAACGGCAGCACAGUAAGAGCUUGCUCUUACGGGUGGCGAGUGGCGGACGGGUGAGGAAUACAUCGGAAUCUACUUUUUCGUGGGGGAUAACGUAGGGAAACUUACGCUAAUACCGCAUACGACCUACGGGUGAAAGCAGGGGAUCUUCGGACCUUGCGCGAUUGAAUGAGCCGAUGUCGGAUUAGCUAGUUGGCGGGGUAAAGGCCCACCAAGGCGACGAUCCGUAGCUGGUCUGAGAGGAUGAUCAGCCACUCUGGAACUGAGACACGUCCAGACUCCUACGGGAGGCAGCAGUGGGGAAUAUUGGACAAUGGGCGCGAGCCUGAUCCAGCCAUACCGCGUGGGUGAAGAAGGCCUUCGGGUUGUAAAGCCCUUUUGUUGGGAAAGAAAAGCAGCAGGUUAAUACCCCGCUGUUCUGACGGUACCCAAAGAAUAAGCACCGGCUAACUUCGUG
rnacentral:rRNA from 1 species